rnacentral:rRNA from 1 species
UACGUAGGGUGCGAGCGUUAAUCGGAAUUACUGGGCGUAAAGCGUGCGCAGGCGGUUUGCUAAGACCGAUGUGAAAUCCCCGGGCUUAACCUGGGAACUGCAUUGGUGACUGGCAGGCUAGAGUAUGGCAGAGGGGGGUAGAAUUCCACGUGUAGCAGUGAAAUGCGUAGAGAUGUGGAGGAAUACCGAUGGCGAAGGCAGCCCCCUGGGCCAAUACUGACGCUCAUGCCACGAAAGCGUGGGGAGCAAACGAGGAU